GUUGGACUAGUAACCAGCAGGUAGCCUAGUGGUUAGAGUGUUGGACUAGUAACCAGCAGGUAGUCUAGUGGUUAGAGUGUUGGACUAGUAACCAGCAGGUAGUCUAGUGGUUAGAGUGUUGGACUAGUAACCAGCAGGUAGUCUAGUGGUUAGAGUGUUGGACUAGUAACCAGCAGGUAGUCUAGUGGUUAGAGUGUUGGACUAGUAACCAGCAGGUAGCCUAGUGGUUAGAGUGUUGGACUAGUAACCAGCAGGUAGCCUAGUGGUUAGAGCGUUGGACUAGUAACCAGCAGGUAGCCUAGUGGUUAGAGUGUUGGACUAGUAACCAGCAGGUAGCCUAGUGGUUAGAGUGUUGGACUAGUAACCAGCAGGUAGCCUAGUGGUUAGAGUGUUG